GUGGGGAGACAGGGUCUUAUUAUGUAGAUUUUGCUGGUAUAUAACUCAGUAUGCAGACCAGGUUGACCUCAAACUCAGAGAUUCACCUGCUUUUGCCUCUUGAGUGCUAGGAUCAAAAGUGAGCACCACCAUACCUGGUGCCAUUAUGCUAUUAUUACAUUCUUUUGUUCAGUGACUGAUAUAUAUAUAUCAUGCAGUUUGUUGGACACUUAUAUAGUUCUUUAUUAUCCUCAACAAAGACACUUACUUUAUAGAAGCUCAACUUAUUGUUAAUCCGGAUCUGCCUAUCAUAUCCUCAGCAUGCUAUGCUGCUGAGAAAUGUUAGAUGGCCUGGCCAAACUCAGAGGUAUUAGCCAGAAGAACAAGGGCUUGUUCUUAGGAGUCCUAAGGUCAUGAACUGUAACUCCAGUAAACACUAAUUGAAAGCUUGUUAUGUACUAGUUGCUGGGAACACAAAAUCUCUGCCUUUUAGCUGAGGAUACAGACAUGUGAAUGGAUAAAUUUAAUGUGUCAGGUGCUUUAAUGAAAAUACAUAUGUGAUAAUUUGUGAAGUUAAACUUACCAUUUAAAAUGAGUAACGGCCUGCUUAUUAAAAUGUGUUUAGUAUUUGAAAUGCUAAUAAACUUUAUCUUAUCUAUCUCUUAGUACGAAGAACUGGAAUACACCACUUAUAUUUGAUCUCAAGGAAGGAACUGUUAGCUUAAUUCUCCAGGCAGAAAGACAUUUUCUUCUUGUAGAUGGUGGUGGUAUCUACUUGCAUUCUUAUGAAGGGCGCUUCAUUUCUUCUCCGAAGUUUCCUGGAAUGAGGACAGAUAUUUUGAAUGCACAGACUGUAUCCCUGAGUAAUGAUACUAUAGCAAUAAAAGACAAAGCUGAUGAAAAGAUAAUCUUCCUCUUUGAAGCAUCAACUGGAAAACCCUUAGGGGAUGGGAAACUUCUUUCUCAUAAGAAUGAAAUCUCAGAAAUUGCUCUGGAUCAAAAAGGACUUACCAAUGACAGAAAAAUUGCUUUCAUUGAUAAAAAUAGAGACCUCUACAUCACCUCAGUGAAACGAUUUGGGAAAGAAGAGCAGAUUAUUAAACUUGGAACCAUGGUGCAUACAUUGGCAUGGUGUGAUUCAUGCAAUAUCCUUUGUGGACUUCAAGAUACCCGAUUCACAGUGUGGUAUUACCCCAAUACCAUUUAUGUGGACAGAGAAAUUUUGCCGAAAACAUUGUACGAAAGAGAUGCAAGUGAAUACAGUAAAAACCCCCACAUAGUGAGUUUUGUUGGAAAUCAGGUGACUAUAAGAAGAGCUGAUGGCUCCCUGGUACACGUCAGCAUAUCCCCAUACCCUGCCAUCCUCCAUGAGUAUGUGAGCAGCUCAAAAUGGGAAGAUGCUGUAAGGCUCUGCCGAUUUGUUAAGGAGCAAAGCAUGUGGGCUUGCCUAGCAGCUAUGGCAGUUGCUAAUCGAGAUAUGAUUACUGCCGAAAUAGCUUAUGCUGCAAUUGGUGAAAUUGAUAAAGUUCGAUACAUCAAUGCUAUAAAAGAUCUUCCAUCUAAAGAGUCAAAAAUGGCCCACAUAUUAAUGUUUAGUGGGAACAUACAAGAGGCUGAGACAGUACUUCUCCAGGGUGGCCUCAUUUAUCAAGCAAUCCAGAUCAACAUUAAUCUCUAUAACUGGGAAAGGGCACUGGAGUUGGCUGUGAAAUACAAAACCCAUGUUGAUACAGUUCUUGCUUAUCGUCAAAAAUUUUUGGAGACAUUUGGUAAACAGGAAACUAAUAAACGAUAUUUGCAAUAUGCAGAAGGUCUCCAAAUAGACUGGGAGAAAAUCAAAGCCAAAAUUGAGAUGGAAAUUACUAAAGAACGUGACCGAUCAACCAGCAGCCACUCUGUCAAGAACUUGGGCUUAAAGCACUAAAUGCCACACUGACCUCUAAACUAGUUCAGAGUAACCAAAGAUGUGCAUGUUUUGUUUGCUUUUAAAAAAAAAAAAAAAGGCAUGAUUUUAACACUAGUGUUGUCUCUGAAUGGUAGAGUACUUGCCUAGCAUGCAUGAGGCCCUGGGUUUGAUCCCCAGCACUGUCAAAAGAAAAAGGCAUUAUCUUUAAAAUAUUGUAUGCACUUUCUGUGUAUGUAAUACUAAAGGUACAUUCAGGAAGACUAAGCACAAAAUAAUUGAUAUAUUCCAUCAUUUAUAUUUUUCUAGUUUAAUAAUUAACAAAGUACUUGUAUAUGCUUAUUUAUGCCCGAGUUAUGUUGAUUACAUUCCAGUUUUUUUUAUUUCUUUAUUCCUGAUUCUUUAGUAUAGUUAUUGAUGCUUAUAAUAAAGCCUGGAGUUAUUUACAAUGUAUGUUAUUGUUAGAAAUUUGUUCUGUAAAUUGUAAAGUAUCUCCCAUAGUUUAUAAAAUAAAAAUACAUAAGGAUGGAUUUAGGGAAAUGUUACAUCGCAGGCACUUGUAUACCAAAGUUGAUAGCAUCAUUCAAAUAACAACAGCUGGGAACAACUGAGAUGACCAUCCACUGGCAUUUCAUAAAGCAAUGUGGUAUUCUCGUGCAGUGGAAUUAUUCCCUCCUGAAAGGAUUGAACUGUGACACAUGCAGCAACAUAGAUGUGCCUUGGGAAACUUAUUCUAAGUGAAGUGAACAGACCGCAGAAGUCAGUCCUGAGAUUGUGCUUACAUGAGGCACCUAGAAUAAACAAGUUCUUCCAGGCAGAAAAGAGAGGAGAAGAACAGGGAAUGAGAAGAUUGGAGUUUUAUUGUGUAAUGUUCAGAGUUUCUUUUUGGAGUAAGUUCUAGAAAUGGAUAAUGAUGAUGGUUGCAUAACAUUGUGGAUGUUAAUGAAACCCAACUGUCCUCUUAAAAAGAAUUAAAAUGAUACAUUUUAUUUUAUUUUAUUUUUUUUAACCAUAUUGAGAAAGAGAUGGGCAAAUUCUCUUUUCUUUAUUCCUCUCUUGACUUGAGAGUGUCUGAGCUCUUAAGACCUAGAGUCUGAGUUUUCAAAACUGGCCCCCUCAGUGGGUAAAGCUGUUUGGCUGGCCUUAAUCUAGUAUAAUUCCAAAUUACUGUCCACCAAAGCUUUUUAACAGUGACACGGACAUCCCUCUAAAGUGUCUCUGCACCUGUUCUUCCAGUCGAUGCAUUAUGGAGCUCACGCACACUCAACCUGGAAACAUUGCCUCUUCCCCUCCAUUGUAAUUUCUCAUGUAGGUUUCCUUCCCAAUAUAUUCCUUUUCUUUUAUGAAAUGUUGAACUGUUUAAUUCUUGGUCCAGAAUUUGGAUACAAGAGUGUGUUCAUUUCAUGAAAUCUGAGGAAUUUACUUAUAUGUUAUACAUGUUUUCUACAUUGUUAAAUUUCAUUGUAAUGUUUAAAAGGAAAAAAAUGGUUAAAAGGUUAAAUUUUAUGUUUAGUAUAUUUUACCACAAUAAAAAAGUAAAAAAAAAAAUGAAGUAUGUCUGUAUUCUGUGAUAUUUUACAAUUAAUUCAGUUUUGACACAGACUACCUAGAGUUAGCAAUAGACACCACAAAGGCCAUGGACCACAGCUGAAUUGCCUUAAGUUUCAGAGUCCCCAGACUGCCUGCCCUUGUGUCUGACAUGGCUAUACAUCUGGGGUUCCCAUAAGUCCCUCUAUUUCAAGUUUGAUAAUUCAAUAGUUUUUUGUAGAACUCACUGGAAGUCUUAAUUUAUUUAGAAGGAUAAAUGGAAAUGUAAACAGGCACAAAGUUGAGGCACAUGGAGCACCGCCUGGGGAAAAGGAAGAUCACAACAGAAUUUCCACACACUGAUCUUGUUGAAUUCAGGAGACUGACCAGCUGCCCCACCCAUGAAUGUGCUCAACAGGAAGCUUCUUCCCCAAGUCUUGAUGUCUUAGGGUUUUCUGUUUUGUUUUUAAAUCAAAGUUUGAUUACAUAUGCAUAAUUGAUUAAAACAUUGGCUUUUGUCUUAGUGUUUCUAUCCCUGUGAUCAAACACCAUGACCAAAAGCAAUUUGGGAAGAAAAGGGUUUAUUUCAGUUUCAUUUCAUAUCACAGUCCAUCAUUGAAGGAAGUCUUGUCAGGAACUCAAACAGGGCAGGAACUUGGAAACUGGAACUAAUGUGGUGUUGUUGCUUACUGGCUUAUAGUAGCCCAGAACUAAUUCCUCCCCAGAGGUUGUACCACUCACAAUGGGCUGGGCCCUCCCAUGUCAAUCACUGAUUAAGAAAAUGCUCUACAGGCUUGCCAACAGGUGAAUCUUAUGGAGGCAUUUUCUCAAUUGAGACUCUCUCUUUCCAAAUAACUCUAACUUAUGUCAAGUUGACAUUAUAAACUAGCCAGGACAGCCAUGCAGUUGAACUUUGUCUCUAGGACCCCACCUACUUCUUCCCUGUGGUUGGUUUUUCUGGCAACCACACCCUGUCUAGAUUCCUUUCCCAGAAGUCACCCCGUUUAUUAUAGUAGAUACCCUAUUUUCAGGACAGUUCUGGAACUUGGGAAAUUCUGUGCCAAUUACCCUCCUUUUUCAAACCCCCAAAGCUCAGGUAGAUUCUUUAUUAUAGGCAACCCCCUGGUCUUUGACACACUAUCUUUUAAAGUUAAAAAAAAAAAAAACCAACAACAACAAAAAAUUCAUACCCUGCAGAGCAUAGCAAAAACAUUUGUAAUUUCUCAGUGCAGCUGGAAACACUGAUAUUGGACUCUUCACCAACCAGGCCAGCAUGCAUCACCAAUUGUAUAUAAAUGUACUUAAAGGAAGAUGCUGGUGUAUUACAUCUAGUCUCUGUUAGUAUGGACCUUUAUCAUUUUAAUGUCCAGCCUACCUCACAGAUAGAUUCCCUCGGGUUUGCAAGCAUCAGUUAGGUCUUGUCAACUUCCAAAAUGAGGAGAGGUCUUAGCAACACAUGUGUCACCCCUUCAGUUAUCAGGUAUAACUAAGACACUAUCAUGUCCUCCUCUAAGCCUCCUUUGAAGCAUUAAUAUAAUCUUGGCAUUCUCAAUUUAAUCUAAUGAUUCAUCCCUGUAUCCUUA
ensembl:lincRNA